rnacentral:rRNA from 2 species
GCACAGAUGCUCGCGCACGCCGCGCAUCGCGGCCGCCUCGCCCGCCGCCCAUACGUAGCCUUCGCCCGCCGGCAGCGGCAGUUCGCGCAAUGCGUCGACCAGCCGGCUCGCGCCGCGCUCGCCGCUCGCCGCAUCGCCGCGAUGUCGCCAUACCACAUACAGGUUCGCAUCGGUUUCGAAUGCGAUCUGCGCCGACGGAUCGGCCACUUCGAGCACCGCCGCGACGCGCGUGCCGGCCGGCAAUUCCUCGAGCCGGCGCGCGACGGCGGGCAAUGCGGUGUCGUCGCCGAUCAGCAGAUGCCAGUCGAAAUCCUUCGGGAUCACGAACGAACCGCGCGGCCCGCCGAUGCCGAGCGUUUGCCCGACGCGCGCCUGAGCGGCCCACUGCGAAGCCGGCCCCGGAUGAUGCAGCACGAAAUCGAGAUCGAGCUCUCGCGCGGCGCGAUCAUAGCGGCGCGGCGUGAAAUCGCGUGCGACGGGGCGCGGCCUGUCCUGCGGAAACACGAUGCCGUUCGGGCCGAAUUCGGGGCGCGCGGGUGCGUCUUCGCCGGGCGGCGGGAAGAAGACUUUCACGUGAUCGUCGAACGACGCCGAUUCGAAAUCGUCGAGUUCGUCGCCUGCCAGCGUCACGCGCUUCAGAUGCGGCGUCACGUCGACGACGCGCUUGACCUGCAGCAGGCGGAAUUUCAGCGUAUGACGCACGCGUACGACCGCGCGCUCGGUAGUCGGUUGGGUCAUGUCGAUCGGUUCUCCUUGAUGAGCCGGAAACGGCGCGAUUCAGCCUUGCGCGCGGCCUUCGAUGUCGGCGACGGCGCGCCGCAAAAUGGCCGCGAUGCGGCGUUGCUCGUCGGCGUUUGCACCGCUUCUGCGAAAGAGCGCUUGCUUGAGCGCCAUCCGUGCUUCGACGAAUUCCGGCAGCCAGCCGCGCGUGUCGUCCUCGGGCGCGGCGGGCGCUUCGCCGGCGAACGCGCGACGCAUGAAUUCCAUCUUGCGGCCGAGAUGCGCGAGCUUCGCGAACAGCAUCUCGACGCGUUCACGCUGCGCGUCGAGAUGCGCGCGGCCCGCGUCGGCGAGCGCGUAACGCUUGCGGUUGCCUUCGGCCUGCACCGUCACGUAGCCGAGUUCUUCCAGAUACGUGAGCGCCGGAUACACCAUGCCGGGGCUCGGCGCGUAGAAGCCGCUCGAGCGCGUGUCGAGCGCCUUGAUCAGCUCAUAGCCGUGGCUCGGCUGCUCGGCGAGCAGCGCGAGCAGCAGCAACUGCAGAUCGUCGGCGCUGAAUUGACGGCCGCGCGGCAUCGCGUCGUCUCCGAAGCCGCCGAACCCACCGGGGCCGCCGCCGCCGAAGCCGCCG